UUCAUUUUUGGAGCCAUUUCCACAACCAGAGCUAGCAAGGAUCUCAGGAGAUCAAAUGUGUGGAGAGAUAAAGGUUUUUAGGGGAAUGGUAAGGAUCUUGGAGAAAAGGAGUGCCGAUUUGGAGAAGAUUGGUAGAGUCUAGGGCAAGCUCUACUCGCUCCAAAUGACGAAGAAGAAAAGGGAGGAGCUUGGUUCCAAGAGGAUGA
rnacentral:lncRNA from 1 species